rnacentral:rRNA from 1 species
CAGCCGCCGCGUAAUACGGAGGGUGCAAGCGUUAAUCGGAAUUACUGGGCGUAAAGCGCACGCAGGCGGUUUGUUAAGUCAGAUGUGAAAUCCCCGAGCUUAACUUGGGAACUGCAUUUGAAACUGGCAAGCUAGAGUCUUGUAGAGGGGGGUAGAAUUCCAGGUGUAGCGGUGAAAUGCGUAGAGAUCUGGAGGAAUACCGGUGGCGAAGGCGGCCCCCUGGACAAAGACUGACGCUCAGGUGCGAAAGCGUGGGGAGCAAACAGGAUUAGAUACCCCUGUAGUCCCUGUCUCUUAUACA